CACCGCGGUUAUACGAGAGGCCCAAGCUGACAGCCCCCGGCGUAAAGAGUGGUUAAGUUAACCCUAAUGUGACUAAAGUCGAACGCCCCCAAGACCGUUAUACGUGCUCGGAGGUAUGAAGCCCAACUACGAAAGUGGCUUUAAAAUACCUGACCCCACGAAAGCUGUGAAA
rnacentral:rRNA from 1 species